rnacentral:rRNA from 1 species
GUGGGUAGUUUGACUGGGGCGGUCUCCUCCUAAAGAGUAACGGAGGAGCACGAAGGUUGGCUAAUCCUGGUCGGACAUCAGGAGGUUAGUGCAAUGGCAUAAGCCAGCUUGACUGCGAGCGUGACGGCGCGAGCAGGUGCGAAAGCAGGUCAUAGUGAUCCGGUGGUUCUGAAUGGAAGGGCCAUCGCUCAACGGAUAAAAGGUACUCCGGGGAUAACAGGCUGAUACCGCCCAAGAGUUCAUAUCGACGGCGGUGUUUGGCACCUCGAUGUCGGCUCAUCACAUCCUGGGGCUGAAGUAGGUCCCAAGGGUAUGGCUGUUCGCCAUUUAAAGUGGUACGCGAGCUGGGUUUAGAACGUCGUGAGACAGUUCGGUCCCUAUCUGCCGUGGGCGCUGGAGAACUGAGGGGGGCUGCUCCUAGUACGAGAGGACCGGAGUGGACGCAUCACUGGUGUUCGGGUUGUCAUGCCAAUGGCACUGCCCGGUAGCUAAAUGCGGAAGAGAUAAGUGCUGAAAGCAUCUAAGCACGAAACUUGCCCCGAGAUGAGUUCUCCCUGACUCCUUGAGGGUCCUGAAGGAACGUUGAAGACGACGACGUUGAUAGGCCGGGUGUGUAAGCGCAGCGAUGCGUUGAGCUAACCGGUACUAAUGAACCGUGAGGCUUAACCUU